CAGUCGCCACGGUAAAACGGAGGGGGCUAGCGUUGUUCGGAAUUACUGGGCGUAAAGCGCACGUAGGCGGCUUGGUAAGUUAGAGGUGAAAGCCUGGAGCUCAACUCCAGAAUUGCCUUUAAGACUGCCGAGCUAGCAGGUGAGAGAGGUAAGUGGAAUUCCGAGUGUAGAGGUGAAAUUCGUAGAUAUUCGGAAGAACACCAGUGGCGAAGGCGGCUUACUGGCUCAUACUGGACGCUGAGGUGCGAAAGCGUGGGGAGCAAACAGGAUUAGAUACCCCUGUAGUCCCUGUCUCUUAUAC
rnacentral:rRNA from 1 species